rfam:Schistosoma mansoni strain Puerto Rico chromosome 3, complete genome
GCACUGCUGAGGAGUCCCACAAUAGGACAGAACGACCGUCCAGUGC